rnacentral:lncRNA from 10 species
GGCCAGAUAAGAGAAUAAAAGCAGGCUGCCCAAGCCAGCAGUGGCAACCGGCUCGGGUCCCAGUCCACACUGUGGAAGGUUUGUUCUUUCACUCUUUGCAAUAAAUCUUGCUGCUGCUCACUCUUUGGGUCCACACUGUUUUUAUGAGCUGUAACACUCACCGCGAAAGUCUGCAGCUUCACUCCUGAGCCAGCGAGACCACGAGCCCACCAGGAGGAACGAACAACUCCAGACCCGCUGCCUUAAGAGCUGUUAACAGUCACCGCGAAGGUCUGCAGCUUCACUCCUGAGCCAGCGAGACCACGAGCCCACCUGGAGGAACGAACAACUCCAGACCCGCUGCCUUAAGAGCUGUAGCAGUCACCACGAAAGUCUGCAGCUUCACUCCUGAGCCAGCGAGACCGCGAACCCACCAGAAGGAAGAAAUUCCGAACAUAUCCGAACAUCAGAAGGAACAAACUCCAGACGCGCCACCUUAAGAGCUGUAACACUCACCGCGAGGGUCCGCGGCUUCAUUCUUGAUGUCAGCAAGACCAAGAACCCACCAAUUCUGGACACAAAACCUCAAGUAGUCCCUCCACCGAAAGCACAUUAUAAGGAUCAUUUUGCCUCAAAGCCCUCCUACAGGCAAGAGGAGCUUACUGUGACUUCCAAGAAGAAAAUGAUGUUGUGGCAUGAAGCACUUCUCUGAUCAUAUCACUGCUGUACUAAAGGUAUGGAAUGUAUUCGGUGUUGAGGAGUUUGGACAGUACAGCAGCAGCUGCUCUAGGACCUUUGAAAGCCCUGAAAGAUGUCACUGGCCAUGAUCUAAAGCACUUUCCCAACAGAAGACACCAUGGAUUAAAAUGAGCAAGAAAGGAGGGAGAAGGUUAGAGAACAUGUUUUCCAUGCAAAAGCCUGCAGGACGGGGGGAGGAGCCAAGAUGGCCGAAUAGGAACAGCUCCGGUCUACAGCUCCCAGCGUGAGCGACGCA